GGAAGUAAAAGUCGUAACAAGGUCUCCGUUGGUGAACCAGCGGAGGGAUCAUUACCGAGUUUACAACUCCCAAACCCCUGUGAACAUACCUAUACGUUGCCUCGGCGGAUCAGCCCGCGCCCCGUAAAAAGGGACGGCCCGCCCGAGGACCCCUAAACUCUGUUUUUAGUGGAACUUCUGAGUAAAACAAACAAAUAAAUCAAAACUUUCAACAACGGAUCUCUUGGUUCUGGCAUCGAUGAAGAACGCAGCAAAAUGCGAUAAGUAAUGUGAAUUGCAGAAUUCAGUGAAUCAUCGAAUCUUUGAACGCACAUUGCGCCCGCCAGUAUUCUGGCGGGCAUGCCUGUUCGAGCGUCAUUUCAACCCUCAAGCUCAGCUUGGUGUUGGGACUCGCGGUAACCCGCGUUCCCCAAAUCGAUUGGCGGUCACGUCGAGCUUCCAUAGCGUAGUAAUCAUACACCUCGUUACUGGUAAUCGUCGCGGCCACGCCGUAAAACCCCAACUUCUGAAUGUUGACCUCGGAUCAGGUAGGAAUACCCGCUGAACUUAAGCAUAUCAAUAAGCGGAGGA
rnacentral:rRNA from 2 species